UGUACAGGGAGCGUUUAGCAGGAGCCUGACUUGCCUCGCUACUAGCACUACUAAUACUGGGCUGGCUGUCCUUCUCGCCUUGACGCGCUAACACAGAUGGCGUCAUUCACUACUCGGGACCUUCACUCUUGUUCUGAAAGGUGAUGCACUUAAUGAGGAAUUCCAACGAUGCUUCAUUUUCGGCAGCGAUCGUGGUUUUUCCUUCCCUUGCUGAGAGUGGCACCGCUUCCCGCACACAUCAGCUGAUCCAGUGUAAACAAGGAUGAACUGGUGGAGCAGGAGAAGGAGGAAGAGGAGAAGAAUGAGAAUGAGAAUGAGGAGGAGGUGGAGGAGGAUGAUGAGAAUGAGAAUGAGGAGGAGGAGGAGAAUGAAAAUGAGAAUGAGAAGAAGGAGAAAAAAAGAAAAAAGAAAAAAAAGGAAAAAGGAAAACACCAAGAUGAUGAAUAAGAACAACAACAAGAUGAAUAACAAGAAAAAGAACAUUAGCAAGAAAAAGAACGUUAACAAGAAAAACAACAACAACAACAAAAACAACAAAAACAACAACAACAACAACAACAACAACAACAACAACAACAACAACAAAAGCAAGUAGUGCAAGAAGAAGAAAAAGCUGAAGAUAAAGCUAAUGAAGCAAGAGAGAAAAAAGAAAGACAAGAGAAAAACGAAACAAACUAACAAAGAAACAAAGAGACGGAGAAGAAAAGGCCACACGAGGAAUUAAGACCAGGACCAGAAGGAAGAGGAGAAGGAAACAGGUAAGGAGGAACACAAAGGAAGGAGGAGAAGAAGAAGAAAGAAGAAAGAGAGAGAAGAAAAAAAAACAAGGAAAACAAAAAAGAAGAUAACGGGAGAGUAUCAAGGAGGAGGAGGAGGAGGAGGAGGAUGAGGAGGAGGAGGAGGAGGAAGGGGGAUGCGGGCGUUACCUCAUAUCAGCUAAUCGCCUCCUAGAUUGCCUCACGAUCUUGUCCUCAAAGUUAUUUCUGGCGUGACAAAUUAAGUUUAAUAGGGAAAAAAUUAGUAAAAAGAGAUGAGAUCGUGAGUUACUGGGUGUAAAAAAAACUGUCGUACCUUGGGAUCUGUUUUUAGGGUAUACUGUGGUUUCUGUGUGUUUCUCCCUCUUUCUUAUAAAAAAAAAAGUACAAUAUUUGUUUUUCUGGUAUAUAAAUAAUAGGAAUGAUAAUUAAAACGUGAAUUCGUUGGAUGUGAAAAGAAACUGUAAUGUUCUCAACAAAUCUUUUCAAUUUAUAUUUUUCGUUUCUUUCUUAAAAAGUACAAUAAUUUGAUUUUCUAGUACAGAAAAUAAUGAAACGUGAUUUGGAGGAUAUGAAAAACUAAAUUUUUAGUAUUUUUUAUUUAUUUUCCUUUCUCUCUUCUUUCAAACUACAGGAAUUUGACUCAGUUAUAAAAAAAUGGAAGUAAUGAAGUAGAACGUGAUUUAUUGUAUACUGAAAAAAAAAUCAUCUCGGCGUGUUUAAUUUGAUUUAUUUUUUUCUUCCUCAAAAUAAAAGAAAAGACUUUCUGGUUUAUUAAAAUAUAAAUAAAAACAUUUAUUUACUGGAUGUGAGAAAAAAAGGUUAUCUUAG